rnacentral:lncRNA from 1 species
GAACCGUUGCAACAUCGUCUCGCAAUAAAUAAUUGUGCAAAAAAAUUAUGAUCAUUCACAAUAAUAUUGGAUCUCGAAACCAUGACUUAUUACAUAAUCAGUUUAUUCACUCUACAUAAAGCAGCGGACUCAUAGAGACACAUGCAUAUUGGAUAGUACAUUAUAUGGAAGGCGUGCAUGCAUCCCUAACCGAUCACACCCUUAGUUGCACCUGGGGCUCUGCACGAUUGCUAACCGGAAAUGACUGGUCGAACGUGGCUGCAUGCUCACUACCAGUAAACCUAAGCUUGUCACCAACACGUUGAACCGUAUGGAAUGCAAGAAAAUCCCACUCAAACUGGAUCCUGACGCCGCCCCAAUUGAGUAAUGGAUCCGGGCUGGAUAACCCCACUGACUAUGCUGUCAAACCGAAUCUUGUGUGAUCCACCGGCAACUGUAACGUUGAAGUCGCACGAGGCGGGGAGGGUCACCUCAACGGCACCCCCAUCAUGGUUCACGUACGACUUCACGCCCAGAGGCAAGAGAGCCCGCAGGAAGUUGUUUUUCGCCAACAGGUCGUAUGCUGUGUCGGAGGUGGCCGCUUGGAGGAUGGAAGCCAUGAAUACGAUGAGGAGCAGAUGCUGGAUGGCCAUGGCUAGCUAACUGUUGCUGCUUACAAAUUGUAUCAAGGAAUAUGAGGAACUGAGAAGUGUAGACUAAGGCCUUGGCCACGUAUUAUAUAUGCUGCCCAACGAAAUCAAAGUCAAUCGUGCUUUAAUUGCAUUUAUUUUGUUCCUGAUUGUCACUCCAUCAACCGCCUCAUCAAAUAUGCUAAAAAUAUCAUCCCAUUAAAUCAUAUUUAUUUUGGCCUAGAACAUUCUAUAGUUAAUGGUUAUGCCAAAACGUUCCUCAAAUCUUCAUAAUCAAUACGUACCAUAAAAUGAGACUGAAAUUUCAGAGCAACAUUCAUUUACGUACUUCACAGCCGACAUAUGAAACAUAUGCAAAAACCUAAAAAUGAAUCAAGGGGAAACAUCAACAUCCCAACAGUUUGAUCCUUGAUGUUGGCUUGGGUACCAAUGAGGCUUCUCUUCUCUUCAAAUAAUGUUGUGCAGUGCAACUAAAACAUAAAACACCCGCAAGAAAGAAAUAUUUCAUUUAGAUAUACUUGAGUUUUACAUGAGUAUGCGGUGCAAUAGAAUGAUUAUCUCCCAUUGUGCAGAUCAUCUCUUUCAGGAUGCCUACUCAGGCCAGCACAGACUCAUACAUAACAUCUCCGUCAAAGUUUCCACACUGUUAUAGCAUGAACUCCCAGACCGUGAGAGAGGCUCAGUACCCAUAUCCAAAAUGAAGAGUGCGGAGGAGCAGGUGCCUACCCCUCCACCUUCCACUUCUCUUAAAAUUUUCCUGUGCAAUGCAACUAAACUAAAAAACAACUCCAAGCAAUAUAUUCAAUUUAGAUCUUGUUGGGUUAUGAUAGGUCUCCAACGUAUUUAUAUUUUUUUAUUGUUCCAUGCUAUUAUAAUUGUUGGGUCAUGAGCCAAAAGCAAGCCAUCGAACAUGCCAGUGUUGGAUUGGAUGAGAUUGUCGACCGCCUGAAGGAGGUUCUCAUCGUGAUCCUUGAAGAGCCGGUCCAGACCUACGGUGAAAUACGCUCGUUGAAGCGCGUACACGCCGCACCUUUCCUCGGACGGCUUGUCCAUCGCCUCCGCUCACGGCCGAUCACGCCACCGCGUCCCGUGAUGGUGUCGCGGCAACUCCAGGACCACUUAAUCUUAUACCAAUUGUGAGCAACUCACCUGAUCGAGAGGAAUUGCUAGGGAUUAGAAUUCGAAAUUGCGGAAAUUGGUUCGUUAGCUAGCCGUCCGUCCACCCUCACAGCUACACUACACCGCCUGUUGCCAUCAUCCAAAUCCCAGCCAGGAGAUAGGAGAGAAUUAUAAUUCCUACUAGCUUAGCCCGCGCGGCGACACGCCGCGCCCAUCGAUCAGUUACGACUAUGUAGACUAUGGUCCAAGCAAUAGAGUAAUAAGUAGUUAUGAUGAAAUUUGUUGCACGACUUGAGGCUUUUUAGCAAAUUGUUUUGUUCACAACAAUUUAUAGACACAAAUAUCUAUCUUUCAUGGAAACUUUUAGUUUAUUUUGUACAUAGCAAGGGUCUGUUCACCAAGUUGAAACAAAUACACAACAUGACCAAAAGUAAGGAACUUCGAAACAAUGCUUUUGUAGCUAAAAUUUAAUAAUUUUUCACAUUUCAUAACAUAAAUACUUAACUAAAACUUACAUCUGAUCCGAAGUACAACCAUUGAGACAGUAAAAAAACAACUAUUUUGAUCAUCACAAAAAAAUUAAUGUGCAUUUCAUGGAAAAAGUUUAGAGACAAAAUAAUUUAGCCAAGAGAAAAACUAUUUCAGAUCACAAAAGGCGCUCCAAAGAGUAAUUGUGUAUAUUAUUCAAAAUAACACUUUGUUACCUUCAGAGGCUUUAAUUAGCCCCAUUGCAUCUUGUGGAAUCAUGCAGUGAUACAAAUUCUUACCAUAAACAACAAAAUUAAGCAGCUCUUAAUAUAGAAACAACCAUAUCACUCUGAAUCAAGGGAGCAUGAUGCGAUGAACUGAUGAUGGGGAAUCUAUGGUAGCAUAUACCCAGGAAACAGUGUUCAUGGAAACUUUGUUAAACAACCCCUUGCUCAGCUUAAAAGUAUUCCUUCCUGGGUCUCCACUAAAACAAAGCAAUAUUUAUACACCCACAUGUGAGAACAAUAUGAGCCAUUGUUUGAUAUAAAACCAACAAUGCUUGAACAUACUUGUUUCUCUACCUCACCAUGUGGCGGCCAGAAAAAGCUUUAACAAAUUAAAAACCACUUGCAAAUUGAAGUUGAGAGUCUUCACUUAUUUCUCGAAAUGGAAGGAGGAAGGGGCCUUAAUUUGUCCCAGUAACCCCAUGAAUAUAAUUAGCCAAAUAUGCGGCAUUUCAUCUUAUUACACGGUCAUGCUGAAGGAGGGAACAUCAAUAAAAUUAGGCAUAAGAAAUCCAUCAAAUGAAGAGAGAUGUACUUAGAAAUAAGAAUAACAAACAUUCUCAGAUACUAUGUACCUUAUCCUGCCUCUAAGAAUAUGUCAAGAAGGUGAAUCAUUCACUUUUAUGUUACCGUUGCUGACAACGGACAACUGUGGAUGGAAACAAAAUUCUCGGCAAUGCAUAUAUGAAACUAAGUAACAUGACUUAGAAAAUAUAAUGUAAAAUAUCACAAUAAACUACUACUAAGUAUGUUCAAUAGUAAUACAACCUCAGUUUGUACCCCGGAAAUUUCUAUCACCAAAACAUCUUAGAAAGUUUAGUGCCAGUGAUGUGCCUGCCAUAAAACCGAAUGCCAAUUUUCAGUUAAAAAAUAACCGCGCAAGACCAUAUUCUUCUGCCGCCAAGGGUAUAUGAUCGAGUGGGGCCAACUAAAGACAGGCCCCACGAUUCCAUUUUUUAAUGUAUGUUGUUGUAUAAUGAAUGACGGGCUUGUAUGCUUACAUGACUAUUUGGUUUUUGAUGUGAUGAAAAUUGGAGGGAAAGAUGCUGGACGGACUAAUUUGAUCAAUCAGGUGAGUAGAAGUAUUAGAGUUUUGGCCAUCUCAUCCAUUAAAUUUGGAUGGAGGGUAUGCAUCUUAAUAUGAUAAACAUAUAUGCAUACCGUAUAUGGGUUAUAUACAUAUAAAAAUCAGUGCAGCAGGCCUUUUUUCUGAAUCUAAACAUCUUGGUGGCCGAGUUCCAGUGUGAAAAUAUUGGUUUUAGUCCCUGGUCAAAUGGACUGAUGCAUAUUAUGUUUGGUUGUACCACAAAAAAUAAUUUGGUUGCUUUAAGAUAUUCAACCGAGGUAGACGAUGCAAUUUUGGCUGACAUGAAGUUUUACGAUCAUCAAUACAGCAGAAUAUGCAAAAGAUGGGAUAAAGCAAGUCAUAUCUACUCCCUCAGUCCCAUAAUAUAACAACGUUUUUGACACGACGGAGGGAGUAGUUUGUUUAUUUGUUUGAGGAACACUUAUUUGCUUGGAGAAUAAUGAAGUGUGCUUGCACCGGUAGACAUGAGAUGAACUUGAACAAACGAUCUGCAUUCAUAUAUGCAUUGUACUAGAAAUCAGUGCUGCUCUGACUUGCCUCUGCAUUGCCUCUGAACCAGUGUUGAUCUAUAUCGGAGAUCAGGAAUUUACUCAUCAGGUCACUGCAUCUACUUUAUUGCGAUUAAACCACCAAACUCAAAGAAAUACCAGCAAUUUAUUUAAUAGUCUUAUUUGAUUUUUUAUUCAGAACGCAUUGAGCUAUUUCUUUUUCCAAGCUACAUUCUUGUACAUUGGAUUCUCAAGGAGCAUCACUUGCGAGACAUGUCUUCACAUACUACCAUUUCAGAACACCACUCCCUUCACGCACAGGACAUACAUGUUCUACAUCCACCCCUCACACUCCUAAUUUCAAACCGAGUUGGCAGGCUAUUGUAAGGAAGGUAAGCAACCUUCUAGAUGGAAUAUUGGAAUUUACUCUGGCAAGGUAGGUCUUAAACAUAUUAUCAUCUGGCUAUCUACUGUUUGAGCUCCCCAUGCUGCUAACACCAUCAAAUAUUGUUUGCUCCGUACAUCUUCAUAUGCCAAUUUGACCUUUUUUUGGCAGACACAGUAUCUCAGAACAUCUAAAUUGACUCCUUGCAUAGGUCUCUGAAUUGACACAAUCAGAAGGAUAAAACAAUCGCUAGAGCUCUUAUAGGAAGUCACCCAUCAUUUGACUUAGACUAAAGAAGGUGUCUAUCAGAAAAAAAGGAACAAAAAGUAAGUGCGAAGAAACACAUGUAGGGUUGCACAUAAUUUGUAAGAGAUGAUCAAGGCAUAUAGUUGCAGCAAGUAGCAAAUGGCAUGAAUUUAUUCAUGAUGCACUCACGCAUCAAGGGUGUAAAUCUUCUUUAGCUAGGUCCAAAUGCAGAUAGAUACAGUACAGGAAUGAUGUGUGAUAUGUCAUUGUAGGUUUCAGACCUAAUGAAAAGUUUAUUACAGUACAUGAAAAAUAUUCAUGAAACGGUUAUACAGUACAUGAAUGAUGAGAAAUCGGAAAUUUCUGUACAGGAGUGCUGUAUAAUAAAUUGCUGAGAGGAAUAAAGAAGAUGCAGAAUGUCUGAAACUUCUCAAAACCAGAAACAAUUAUACAAAAGCUACCUGACCGAGUAUACGGCUAGGAAUCUGCCUAAUUCAGUGUCUCUUAUAACCCGCCAACGACUACGGCGUAAUCACCAUCACUGCGGCUCAACCAGAAUUCGAUCGAAUAAUGAGGCAAAUGAAGUAGCUAAUAUGGGGUAAAUGCACACUAACUUGGCAGCAAGAACAGAUGGGUCGUAAGCGCCUUCAGUGACCCUACGACCUGCAAAUGGCAGUAUACAGACAGUACGCCUUUACUCCGAAUAACCGAGGAGGAGCUGUCCUUAUCCUCUUUUUUUGCGGGGGAGCUGUCUUUAUCCUCCACUCAAGCUAGCUAUACUUACAAAGUUAGAGCUAUAUAAAGUUUUGAAGCGUAGCGCUGUGAAUGGAUCACUCGUCCAGCAGCCUCCUGACACAUAAAAUAGGCAGAGCGAGCAUUACAAGGUCCCAUAACUCGGGGUCAGGCUUCUCGAACACGAUGACGCGCACCACCGUGCGCCACGCCGACGCCAGGUAGUAGAGCGCGGGCCUCUUACACUUGUUGUGCGCCAGGGGCUUCAUGUUGAAUGCGCGCGCCUUGUAGUCGGCGGGCCAGUACCAGUUCAUGAACGUCCGCGCCGGCAUCUGCAUCUCCCGCGCCAGCACGACGCCCUCGGCACCAUCACCACGAACCCCCAUGCCACUGACACCAUCCACCAGUUCGCCGCGAUGUAGCAUAUCGACUGGUGCAUCACCCCCGUCGAACAGCCUCCGCAGAGACGCCGGGCGCAAACGCACGUUGGGGAUAAGCGGUCGAGGUGGUGCAGCGAGUCAGCGACACCAGCGGUGCCACCUGGUGGGCGGCGAGGAGGCCCAGGAGGUCACCAUACACGCCUUACUCGUGGAAGCCCGAGUGUCGGCACUCCCAGCUCCGCCAUGCCCCAUGCACGAUGUAGUAGGGGACGGCGAGGAGGUUGUCCGGGAGGAAGACCGUGUUGUCGACUUGUCGUCACCCAUGACGAACCAGCGUACACCUGGGAGACUGACGCGGAAGGUCUCAGAGAUGACGGUCGACGUGUGAGAUGCAUGCGGAUGGCAGAGCGAUGACCGUGCGUGUAGGAGAAACCGGAGGUAUCCGGUAAGAUCUUGAUGUAUAUGCACUCCUUCCGCUUCUCCAACAGGCGCGCCAACGCCGUGAAGCCGAACACUGCAGCGUAAUCGUCGUUGUCGACACCGUGGCCGUGGCAGGUUGCGGUGGUGGUGGCGUACUCGUCGUCAACACCACCGUAUCUGUGGAGGGUGGUGGUGGCAUCCUCGCCGUCGACACCACCGUGACCGUGGCGGGCAUCAGCAGGGGCCUCGCUAGCGGCAACGUGACUAAUUAGGAGGAUAGCGUUGUGGGCGGCUUCUUCUGGGUGGAGGCAGCCGGGCGCUGCCACGCUGGGCAAGAUGCUAUGUGCGAAGAAGAGCCCUUUUAUAGGCCAGUACGGCGGUGAAUGGGUGGCUGGGUUAUGCACCGCACUGGAGCAGAGUUUUCGGGAGCGUCUAGAACACACGGCUGGACAACAGCGGCAGUAACAAAAAGGUACAUAUCGAUUGGGCCAGAAGCGGUCACGACAGAAAUACAGAGAAGCAUCGAUGUGUCUGGAAAGGGACAUAUCGAUUGGGCCAGAAGCGGCCGCGACAGAAAUACAGAGAAGCAUCGAUGUGUCAACCAAGCGAUCGCCACACCCGUUGAAGAAAUUUGACAAAAAACUAAACACACCACUCAUUUCUACCCUGCCGUGUACCAAAAAAAUACCACGCACCAUACCCACAACUCACCAUAGGUCACUUUCAUCCAAUUGGUUUAAUCUCAAAGCAAAAACCUUGCCUGCAAUAGAGGCUUGGGUAUUUAAACUAGUGAUCGCUAACAUAGUAGAAGGGCGUGCUCAUAGUCCAUCAACCAUCGCGGUGGGUUGAUCUCGAACCUAGGCUGCGGUUAGAGCAUAAAAAUUGUAUGCGAUAUUGAGUCCAUCACACAAAGUUAGAACAUACAAACUAUGUGCAAUAGGAAGGGUCCAUCACACACGGUUAUAAUUAAAAAUCGUGUGCUCGGAUGGGUUGGCGAUUGGGGUGCCAAUACACACGCUUUCAAAACGGUGUGCGAUGAAUGGGCUCGACUAGGUCUAACAUAAGUGCUACAUUAUACAAUUAUUCAUUUUUUACAAGCAAACAUAGCACCAGACAUAAUUCACAAUUGGACAACCCAUCGCACACUCUACGAUAUUUUGUUCUGCCAUUUCUCUACUAAUGGACAAAAGGCACUCGGCUUACAUCGGUAUGCCAACAUGAUGUACCUUGAGUGCGUUACGCUGAGUGUCAAACCCGCCGAGGCAAAAUCAGCCUUUGCUAGGGGGUCUGCACACCCAAUGGCGGAGCUAUGUUGGNNNNNNNNNNNNNNNNNNNNNNNNNNNNNNNNNNNNNNNNNNNNNNNNNNNNNNNNNNNNNNNNNNNNNNNNNNNNNNNNNNNNNNNNNNNNNNNNNNNNNNNNNNNNNNNNNNNNNNNNNNNNNNNNNNNNNNNNNNNNNNNNNNNNNNNNNNNNNNNNNNNNNNNNNNNNNNNNNNNNNNNNNNNNNNNNNNNNNNNNNNNNNNNNNNNNNNNNNNNNNNNNNNNNNNNNNNNNNNNNNNNNNNNNNNNNNNNNNNNNNNNNNNNNNNNNNNNNNNNNNNNNNNNNNNNNNNNNNNNNNNNNNNNNNNNNNNNNNNNNNNNNNNNNNNNNNNNNNNNNNNNNNNNNNNNNNNNNNNNNNNNNNNNNNNNNNNNNNNNNNNNNNNNNNNNNNNNNNNNNNNNNNNNNNNNNNNNNNNNNNNNNNNNNNNNNNNNNNNNNNNNNNNNNNNNNNNNNNNNNNNNNNNNNNNNNNNNNNNNNNNNNNNNNNNNNNNNNNNNNNNNNNNNNNNNNNNNNNNNNNNNNNNNNNNNNNNNNNNNNNNNNNNNNNNNNNNNNNNNNNNNNNNNNNNNNNNNNNNNNNNNNNNNNNNNNNNNNNNNNNNNNNNNNNNNNNNNNNNNNNNNNNNNNNNNGUCAAAAGAAUUGACAGUUAGGUCACUUUGGGCCAAAAAAAAAAGUAUCCAAAAGAUGCCCUAUAUACCUAUAUGUUGCAAAAGAAAAUUACCCAAAAUUUUGUCACACACAUCUAGUAGCUGCGUUGAAACCAAAAACAAUGCAGCAGGAACCCAACCACUAGCGAUGAGACUACCCCACCGCCGACAGUCGCCACCCCACACCUACUCUGACCGACUGUGCAGCGCAUGCCACCGCCGCGACUCAAUCGGCCGUUCUCAGCCCCGCUACCACCCUGCCGCUUGGGAUGUCCGCUACCAAAUCUUGGGCCGGCGCAUCCGAUUCCACCGACUCUGGCCAUAGAAAGUUGGUGUAGCUACCGGGACAUCCCCCUUCAGUAUUUUGGCUAAUUUUGAACUUUUUGUCCGGAUCACAAGAAAAUGUUAGUGUCGUCCAUGUUGCUGAAGGGGAAUUACUACUUGGGGAUUUUCUCACUGAAUAUUGGAAUAUACUUACUUUAUGCAUGCCAUCAAAUAUAGCUCAUCCCCUGAAAGAACAAAGAUUGCUGAUGUUUUUUUCCACGGUUUUCUAAAACAAUGUUGAUCUUUUUCAGAGAAAUGCAAUGAUUAUUUUUAGAGAACAUUCUGCAAAUCAACUAAAUAAGAGUCUAGGCAUUCUUCUUGUUUUUUUCGGGGGGAAGGUGUCUAGGCAUUUAUUAACAUGUAGAACUUACAAUGCAUGGGGAAUGAAAGAUCAAAUAUACCUUGCUCUCCUUUCUUAUUUUAGUGGCUGUUAAUGUCAUCAUAAAGAAUAUUACACAUUAGGAUUGAGUUGUUUUGCUCUUCUAUUUUCCAGUAAGCCCUGCGAUAUUUUACAACCCAUCGGACACCCUUGUGGAUCUGAUGCUAUGUAGAUCAAGAUUAUUUCUAAUUACCUGCGAGACACCGACAAAGUAUAUCAUGUGGAAUUUCUUGUUCCUGUGGUUGGGAGGCUAGGCAAAAAAAAUAUAUGAUCAUCACAAUAAUAUUAGGUCUUGGAACCAUGACUUAUUACAUAAUCAGUUUAUUCACUCUACAUAAAGCAGCGGACUCACAAAGACACAUGCAUAUUGGAUACUACAUUAUAUGGAAGGCGUGCAUGCAUCCGUAACCGAUCACACCCUUAGCUGCACCUGGGGCUCUGCACGAAGUUGCUAACCGGAAAUGACUGGUCGAACGUGGCUGCAUGCUCACUACCAGUAAACCUCAGCUUGUCACCGACGCGUUGAACCGUGUGGAAUGCGAGAAAAUCCCACUCAAAUUGGAUCCUCACGCCACCCAGUUGAGUUAUGGAUCCGGGCCGGAUAACACCACUGACUAUGCUGUCAAACCGAAUCUUGUGUGAUCCACCGGCAACCGUAACAUUGAAGUCGCAGGAGGCGGGGAGUGUCACCUCAACGGCGCCCCCAUGGUUCACGUACGACUUCACACCCUGAGGCAGGAGAGCCCGCGGGAAGUUGUUUUUCUCCAAAAGGUCGUACGCUGUGUCGGAGGUGGCUGCUUGGAGGACAGAAGCCAGGAAGACGAUGAGGAGCAGAUGCCGGAUGGCCAUGUCUAGCUAACUGUUGCUGCUUACAAAUUGUAUCAAGGAAUAUGAGGAACUAGGAAGUAUGUGUAGACUGAGGCCCUGGCCACGUAUUAUAUAUGCUGCCCAACGAAAUCAAAGUCAAUCGUACUUUAAUUGCAUUUAUUUUGUUCCUGAUUAUCACUCCAUCAACCACCACAUCAAAUAUGCUAAAAAUAUCAUCCCAUUAAAUCAUAUUUAUUUCUGGCCUAGAACAUUCUAUAGUUAAUGGUUAUGCCAAAACGUUCCUCAAAUAUUCAUAAUCAAUACGUACCAUAAAAUGAGACUGAAAUUUCAGAGCAACAUUCAUUUACGUACUUCACAGCCGACAUAUGAAACAUAUGCAAAAACCUAAAAAUGAAUCAAGGGGAAACAUCAACAUCCAAACAGUUUGAUCCUUGAUGUUGGCUUGGGUACCAAUGAGGCUUCUCUUCUCUUCAAAUAAUGUUGUGCAGUGCAACUAAAACAUAAAACACCCGCAAGAAAGAAAUAUUUCAUUUAGAUAUACUUGAGUUUUACAUGAGUAUGCGGUGCAAUAGAAUGAUUAUCUCCCAUUGUGCAGAUCAUCUCUUUCAGGAUGCCUACUCAGGCCAGCACAGACUCAUACAUAACAUCUCCGUGAAAGUUUCCACAAUGUUAUAGCAUGAACUCCCAGACCGUGAGAGAGGCUCAGUACCCAUAUCCAAAAUGAAGAGUGCGGAGGAGCAGGUGCCUACCCCUCCACCUUCCACUUCUCUUAAAAUUUUCCUGUGCAAUGCAACUCAACUAAAAAACAACUCCAAGCAAUAUAUUCAAUUUAUAUCUUGUUGGGUUAUGAUACGUCUCCAACGUAUUUAUAUAUUUUUUAUUGUUCCAUGCUAUUAUAAUUGUUGGGUCAUGAGCCGAAAGCAAGCCAUCGAACAUGCCAAUGUUGGAUUGGAUGAGAUUGUCGACCGCCUGAAGGAGGUUCUCAUCGUGAUCCUUGAAGAGCCGGUCCAGACCUACGGUGAAAUACGCUCGUUGAAGCGCGUACACGCCACACCUUUCCUUGGACGGCUUGUCCAUCGCCUCCGCUCACGGCCGAUCACGCCACCGCAUCCCGUGAUGGUGUCGCGGCAACUCCAGGACCACUUAAUCUUAUACCAAUUGUGAGCAACUCACCUGAUCGAGAGGAAUUGCUAGGGAUUAGAAUUCGAAAUUGCGGAAAUUGGUUUCUUAGCUAGACGUCCGUCCACCCUCACAGCUACACUACACCGCAUGUUGUCAUCAUCCAAAUCCCAGCCAGGAGAUAGGAGAGAAGUAUAAUGCCUACUAGCUUAGCCCGCGCGGCGACACGCCGCGCCCAUCGAUCAGUCGCGACUAUGUAGACUAUGGUCCAAGCAAUAGAGUAAUAAGUAGUUAUGAUGAAAUUUGUUGCAUAACUUGAGGCUUUUUAGCAAAUUCUUUUGUUCACAACAAUUUAUAGACACAAAUAUCUAUCUUUCGUGGAAACUUUUAGUUUAUUUUGUACAUAGCAAGGGUCUGUCCACCAAGUUGAAACAAAUACACAACAUGACCAAAAGUAAGGAACUUCAGAACAGUGCUUUCGUAGCUAAAAUUUAAUAAUUUUUCACAUUUCAUAACAUAAAUACUUAACUAAAACUUACAUCUGAUCUGAAGUACAACCAUUGAGACAGUAAAAAAACCACUAUUUUGAUCAUCAGAAAAAAAUUAAUGUGCAUUUCAUGGAAAAAGUUUAGAGACAAAAUAAUUUAGCCAAGAGAAAAACUAUUUCAGAUCACAAAAGGCGCUCCAAAGAGUAAUUGUGUAUAUUAUUCAAAAGAACACUUUGUUACCUUCAGGCUUUAAUUAGCCCCAUUGUAUCUUGUGGAAUCAUGCAGUGAUACAAAUUCUUACCAUAAACAAAAAAAUUAAGCAGCUCUUAAUAUAGAAACAACCAUAUCACUCUGAAUCAAGGGAGCAUGAUGCGAUGAACUGAUGACGGGGAAUCUAUGGUAGCAUAUACCCAGGAAACAGUGUUCAUGGAAACUUUGUUAAACAACCCCUUGCUCAGCUUAAAAGUAUUCCUUCCUGGGUCUCCACUGAAACAAAGCAAUAUUUAUACACCCACAGGUGAGAACAAUAUGAGAUUGUUCGAUAUAAAACCAACAAUGCUUGAACAUACUUGUUUCUCUACCUCACCAUGUGGCAACCAGAAAAAGCUUUAACAAUUUAAAAACCACUUGCAAAUUGAAGUUGAGAGCCUUCACUUAUUUCUCGAAAUGGAAGGAGGAAGGGGCCUUAAUUUGUCCCAGUAACCCCAUGAAUAUAAUUAGCCAAAUAUGUGGCAUUUCAUCUUAUUACAUGGUCAUGCUGAAGGAGGGAACAUCAAUAAAAUUAGGCAUAAGAAAUCCAUCAAAUGAAGAGAGAUGUACUUAGAAAUAAGAAUAACAAACAUUCUCAGAUACUAUGUACCUUAUCCUGCCUCUAAGAAUAUGUCAAGAAGGUGAAUCAUUCACUUUUAUGUUACCGUUGCUGACAACGGACAACUGUGGAUGGAAACAAAAUUCUCAGCAAUGCAUAUAUGAAACUAAGUAACAUGACUUAGAAAAUAUAAUGUAAAAUAUCACAAUAAACUACUACUAAGUAUGUUCAAUAGUAAUACAACCUCAGUUUGUACCCCAGAAAUUUCUAUCACCAAAACAUCUUAGAAGGUUCAGUGCUAGUGAUGUGCCUGCCAUAAGACCGAAUGCCAAUUUCUAGUUAAAAAAUAACCGCGCAAGACCAUAUUCCUCUACCGCAAAGGGUAUAUGAUCAAGUGGGGCCAACUAAAGACAGGCCCCACGAUUCCAUUUUUUAAUGUAUGUUGUUGUAUAAUGAAUGACGCGCUUGUAUGCUUACGUGACUAUUUGGUUUUUGAUGUGAUGGAAAUUGGAGGGAAAGAUGCUGGACGGACUAAUUUGAUCAAUCGGGUGAGUAGAAGUAUUAGAGUUUUGGCCAUCUCAUCCAUUAAAUUUGGAUGGAGGGUAUGCAUCUUAAUAUGAUAAACAUAUAUGCAUACCGUAUAUGGGUUAUAUACAUAUAAAAAUCAGUGCAGCAGGCAUUUUUUCUGAAUCUAAACAUCUUGGUGGCCGAGUUCCAGUGUGAAAAUAUUGGUUUUAGUCCCUGGUCAAAUGGACUGAUGCAUAUUAUGUUUGGUUGUACCACGAAAAAUAAUUUGGUUGCUUUAAGACAUUCAACCGAGGUAGACGAUGCAAUUUUGGCUGACAUGAAGUUUUACGAUCAUCAAUAUAGCAGAAUAUGCAAAAGAUGGGAUAAAGCAAGUCAUAUCUACUCCCUCAGUCCCAUAAUAUAAGAGCGUUUUUGACACGAUGGAGGGAGUAGUUUGUUUAUUUGUUUGAGGAACACUUAUUUGCUUGGAGAAUAAUGAAGUGUGCUUGCACCGGUGCACAUGAGAUGAACUUGAACAAACGAUCUGCAUUCAUAUAUGCAUUGUACCAGAAAUCAGUGCUGCUCUAACUUGCCUCUGCAUUGCCUCUGAACCAGUGCUGAUCUAUAUCGGAGAUCAGGAAUUUACUCAUCAGGUCACUGCAUCUACUUUAUUGCGAUUAAACCACCAAACUCAAAGAAAUACCUGCAAUUUAUUUAAUAGUCUUAUUUGAUUUUUUAUUCAGAAUGCGUUGAGCUAUUUCUUUUGCCGAGCUACAUUCUUGUACAUUGGAUUCUCAAGGAGCAUCACUUGCGAGACAUAUCUUCACAUACUACCAUUUCAGAACACCACUCCCUUCACGCACAGGACAUACAUGUUCUACAUCCACCCCUCACACUCCUAAUUUCAAAACCGAGUUGGCAGGUUAUUGUAAGGCAGGUAAGCAACCUUCUAGAUGGAAUGUUGGAAUUUACUCUGGCAAGGUAGGUCUUAAACAUAUUAUCAUCUGGCUAUCUACUGUUUGAGCUCCCCAUGCUGCUAACACCAUCAAAUAUUGUUUGCUCCGGACAUCUUCAUAUGCCAAUUUGACCUUCUUUUUGGCAGACACAGUAUCUCAGAACAUCUAAAUUGACUCCUUGCACAGGUCUCUGAAUUGACACAAUCAGAAGGAUAAAACAAUCGCUAGAGCUCUUAUAGGAAGUCAGCCAUCAUUUUACUUAGACUAAAGAAGGUGUCUAUCACAAAAAAGGAAAAAAAAGUAAGUGCGAAGAAACACAUGUAGGGUUGCACAUAAUUUGUAAGAGAUGAUCAAGGCAUAUAGUUGCAGCAAGUAGCAAAUGGCAUGAAUUUAUUCAUGAUGCACUCACGCAUCAAGGGUGUAAAUCUUCUUUAGCUAGGUCCAAAUGCAGAUAGAUACAGUACAUGAAUGAUGUGUGAUAUGUCAUUGUAGGUUUCAGACCUGAUGAAAAGUUUAUUACAGUACACGAAAAAUAUUCAUGAAACGGUUAUACAGUACAGGAAUGAUGAGAAAUCGGAAAUUUCUGUACAGGAAUGAUGUAUAAUAAAUUGCUGAGAGGAAUAAAGAAGAUGCAGAAUGUCUGAAACUUCUCAAAACUGGAAACAAUUAUACAAAAGCUACCUGACAGAGUAUACGGCUAGGAAUCUGCCUAAUUCAGUGUCUCUUAUAAUCCACCAACGACUACGGCGUAAUCACCAUCAUUGCGGCUCAACCAGAAUUCGAUCGAAUAAUGAGGCAAAUAAAGCAGCUAAUAUGGGGUAAAUGCACACUAACUUGGCAGCAAGAACAGAUGGGUCAUAAGCGCCUUCAGUGACCCUACGACCUGCAAAUGGCAGUAUACAGACAGUGCGCCUUUACUCUGAAUAACCGAGAAGGAGCUAUCUUUAUCCUCUUUUUUUGCGGGGGAGCUGUCUUUAUCCUCCACUCAAGCUAGAUAUACUUACAAAGUUAGAGUUGUAUAAAGUUUUGAAGCGUAGCGCUGUGAAUGGAUCACUCGUCCAGCAGCCUCCUGACACAUAAAAUAGGCAGAGCGAGCAUUACAAGGUCCCAUAACUCGGGGUCAGGCUAGUCGAACACGAUGACGCGCACCACCGUGCGCCACGCCGACGCCAGGUAGUAGAGCGCGGGCCUCUCGCACUGGUUGUGCGCUAGGGGCUUCAUGUUGAACGCGCGCGCCUUGUAGUCAGCGGGCCAGUACCAGUUCAAGAACGUCCACGCCGGCAUCUGCAUCUCCCGCGCCAGCACAACGCCCUCGGCACCGUCACCACGAACCCCCACGCCACUGACACCGUCCACCGGUUCGCCGCGAUGUAGCAUAUCAACUGGUGCAUCACCCCCGUCGAACAGCCUCCGCAGAGACGCCGGGCGCGAACGCAUGUUGGGGAUAAGCGGUCGAGGUGGUGCAGCGAGUCAGCGACACCAGCGGUGCCACCUGGUGGGCGGCGAGGAGGCCCAGGAGGUCACCAUACACGCCUUACUCGUGGAAGCCCGAGUGUCGGCACACCCACAUCCGCCAUGCCCCAUGCACGAUGUAGUAGGGGACGGCGAGGAGGUUGUCCGGGAGGAAGACCGUGUUGUCGACUUGUCGUCACCCAUGACGAACCAGCUACACCUGGGAGACUGAGGCGGAAGGUCUCGGAGAUGACAGUCGACGUGUGAGAUGCAUGCGGAUGGCAGAGCGAUGACCGUGCGUGUAGGAGAAACCGGAGGUAUCCGGUAAGAUCUUGAUGUAUAUGCACUCCUUCCGCUUCUCCAACAGGCGCGCCAACGCCGUGAAGCCGAACACUGUAGCGUAAUCGUCGUUGUCGACACCGUGGCUGUGGCAGGUUGCGGUGGUGGUGGCGUACUCGUCGUCAACACCACCGUAUCUGUGGAGGGUGGUGGUGGCAUCCUCGCCGUCGACACCACCGUGACCGUGGCGGGCAUCAGCAGGGGCCUCGCCAGCGGCAACGUGACUAAUCAGGAGGAUAGCGUUGUGGGCGGCUUCUUCUGGGUGGAGGCAGCCGGGCGCUGCCACGCUGGGCAAGAUGCUAUGUGCGAAGAAGAGCCCUUUUAUAGGCCAGUACGGCGGUGAAUGGGUGGCUGGGUUAUGCACCGCACUGGAGCAGAGUUUUCGGGAGCGUCUAGAACACACGGCUGGACAACAGCGGCAGUAACAAAAAGGUACAUAUCGAUUGGGCCAGAAGCGGUCACGACAGAAAUACAGAGAAGCAUCGAUGUGUCUGGAAAGGGACAUAUCGAUUGGGCCAGAAGCGGCCGCGACAGAAAUACAGAGAAGCAUCGAUGUGUCAACCAACCGAUCGCCACACCCGUUGAAGAAAUUUGAAUCAAAAAACUGAACACACCACUCAUUUCUACCCUGCCGUGUACCAAAAAAAUACCACGCGCCAUACCCACAACUCACCAUAGGUCACUUUCAUCCAAUUGGUUUAAUCUCAAAGCGAAAACCUUGCCUGCAAUAGAGGCUUGGGUAUUUAAACUAGUGAUCGCUAACAUAGUAGAAGGGCGUGCUCAUAGUCCAUCAACCAUCGCGGUGGGUUGAUCUCGAACCUAGGCUGCGGUUAGAGCAUAAAAAUUGUAUGCGAUAUUGAGUCCAUCACACAAAGUUAGAACAUACAAACUAUGUGCAAUAGGAAGGGUCCAUCACACACGGUUAUAAUUAAAAAUCGUGUGCUCGGAUGGGUUGGCGAUUGGGGUGCCAAUACACACGCUUUCAAAAAGGUGUGCGAUGAAUGGGCUCGACUAGGUCUAACAUAAGUGCUACAUUAUACAAUUAUUAAUUUUUUACAAGCAAACAUAGCACCAGACAUAAUUCACAAUUGGACAACCCAUCGCACACUCUACGAUAUUUUGUUCUGCCAUUUCUCUACUAAUGGACAAAAGGCACUCGGCUUACAUCGGUAUGCCAACAUGAUGUACCUUGAGUGCGUUACGCUGAGUGUCAAANNNNNNNNNNGCGAUAUUGAGUCCAUCACACAAAGUUAGAACAUACAAACUAUGUGCAAUAGGAAGGGUCCAUCACACACGGUUAUAAUUAAAAAUCGUGUGCUCGGAUGGGUUGGCGAUUGGGGUGCCAAUACACACGCUUUCAAAACGGUGUGCGAUGAAUGGGCUCGACUAGGUCUAACAUAAGUGCUACAUUAUACAAUUAUUCAUUUUUUACAAGCAAACAUAGCACCAGACAUAAUUCACAAUUGGACAACCCAUCGCACACUCUACGAUAUUUUGUUCUGCCAUUUCUCUACUAAUGGACAAAAGGCACUCGGCUUACAUCGGUAUGCCAACAUGAUGUACCUUGAGUGCGUUACGCUGAGUGUCAAACCCGCCGAGGCAAAAUCAGCCUUUGCUAGGGGGUCUGCACACCCAAUGGCGGAGCUAUGUUGGNNNNNNNNNNNNNNNNNNNNNNNNNNNNNNNNNNNNNNNNNNNNNNNNNNNNNNNNNNNNNNNNNNNNNNNNNNNNNNNNNNNNNNNNNNNNNNNNNNNNNNNNNNNNNNNNNNNNNNNNNNNNNNNNNNNNNNNNNNNNNNNNNNNNNNNNNNNNNNNNNNNNNNNNNNNNNNNNNNNNNNNNNNNNNNNNNNNNNNNNNNNNNNNNNNNNNNNNNNNNNNNNNNNNNNNNNNNNNNNNNNNNNNNUCUUGUAGUGGAGAAUUUUCAACGUAUGAUGUAAAAUAGCCGUUGUGUCAAAAGAAUUGACAGUUAGGUCACUUUGGGCCAAAAAAAAGUAUCCAAAAGAUGCCCUAUAUACCUAUAUGUUGCAAAAGAAAAUUACCCAAAAUUUUGUCACACACAUCUAGUAGCUGCAUUGAAACCAAAAACAAUGCAGCAGGAACCCAACCACUAGCGAUGAGACUACCCCACCGCCGACAGUCGCCACCCCACACCUACUUUGACCGACUGUGCAGCGCAUGCUGCCGCCGUGACUCAAUCGGCCGUUCUCAGCCCCGCUACCACCCUGCCGCUUGGGAUGUCCGCUACCAAAUCUUGGGCCGGCGCAUCCGAUUCCACCGACUCUGGCCAUAGAAAGUUGGUGUAGCUACCGGGACAUCCCCCUUCAGUAUUUUGGCUAAUUUUGAACUUUUUGUCCGGAUCACAAGAAAAUGUUAGUAUCGUCCAUGUUGCUGAAGGGGAAUUACUACUUGGGGAUUUGCUCACUGAAUAUUGGAAUAUACUUACUUUAUGCAUGCCAUCAAAUAUAGCUCAUCCCCUGAAAGAACAAAGAUUGCUGAUGUUUUUUUCCAUGGUUUUCUAAAACAAUGUUGAUCUUUUUCAGAGAAAUGCAAUGAUUAUUUUUAGAGAACAUUCUGCAAAUCAACUAAAUAAGAGUCUAGGCAUUCUUCUUGUUUUUUUCGGGGGGAAGGUGUCUAGGCAUUUAUUAACAUGUAGAACUUACAAUGCAUGGGGAAUGAAAGAUCAAAUAUACCUUGCUCUCCUUUCUUAUUUUAGUGGCUGUUAAUGUCAUCAUAAAGAAUAUUACACAUUAGGAUUGAGUUGUUUUGCUCUUCUAUUUUCCAGUAAGCCCUGCGAUAUUUUACAACCCAUCGGACACCCUUGUCGAUCUGAUGCUAUGUAGAUCAAGAUUAUUUCUAAUUACCUGCGAGACACCGACAAAGUAUAUCAUGUGGAAUUUCUUGUUCCUGUGGUUAGGAGGCUGGGCAAAAAAUAUAUAUGAUCAUCACAAUAAUAUUAGGUCUUGGAACCAUGACUUAUUACAUAAUCAGUUUAUUCACUCUACAUAAAGCAGCGGACUCACAAAGACACAUGCAUAUUGGAUACUACAUUAUAUGGAAGGCGUGCAUGCAUCCGUAACCGAUCACACCCUUAGCUGCACCUGGGGCUCUGCACGAAGUUGCUAACCGGAAAUGACUGGUCGAACGUGGCUGCAUGCUCACUACCAGUAAACCUCAGCUUGUCACCGACGCGUUGAACCGUGUGGAAUGUGAGAAAAUCCCACUCAAAUUGGAUCCUCACGCCACCCAAUUGAGUUAUGGAUCCGGGCCGGAUAACACCACUGACUAUGCUGUCAAACCGAAUCUUGUGUGAUCCACCGGCAACCGUAACAUUGAAGUCGCAGGAGGCGGGGAGUGUCACCUCAACGGCGCCCCCAUGGUUCACGUACGACUUCACACCCUGAGGCAGGAGAGCCCGCGGGAAGUUGUUUAUCUCCAAAAGGUCGUACGCUGUGUCGGAGGUGGCUGCUUGGAGGACAGAAGCCAGGAAGACGAUGAGGAGCAGAUGCUGGAUGGCCAUGGCUAGCUAACUGUUGCUGCUUACAAAUUGUAUCAAGGAAUAUGAGGAACUGGGAAGUAUGUGUAGACUGAGGCCCUGGCCACGUAUUAUAUAUGCUGCCCAACGAAAUCAAAUUCAAUCGUACUUUAAUUGCAUUUAUUUUGUUCCUGAUUAUCACUCCAUCAACCACCUCAUCAAAUAUGCUAAAAAUAUCAUCCCAUUAAAUCAUAUUUAUUUCUGGCCUAGAACAUUCUAUAGUUAAUGGUUAUGCCAAAACGUUCCUCAAAUAUUCAUAAUCAAUACGUACCAUAAAAUGAGACUGAAAUUUCAGAGCAACAUUCAUUUACGUACUUCACAGCCGACAUAUGAAACAUAUGCAAAAACCUAAAAAUGAAUCAAGGGGAAACAUCAACAUCCCAACAGUUUGAUCCUUGAUGUUGGCUUGGGUACCAAUGAGGCUUCUCUUCUCUUCAAAUAAUGUUGUGCAGUGCAACUAAAACAUAAAACACCCGCAAGAAAGAAAUAUUUCAUUUAGAUAUACUUGAGUUUUACAUGAGUAUGCGGUGCAAUAGAAUGAUUAUCUCCCAUUGUACAGAUCAUCUCUUUCAGGAUGCCUACUCAGGCCAGCACAGACUCAUGCAUAACAUCUCCGUGAAAGUUUCCACAAUGUUAUAGCAUGAACUCCCAGACCAUGAGAGAGGCUCAGUACCCAUAUCCAAAAUGAAGAGUGCGGAGGAGCAGGUGCCUACCCCUCCACCUUCCACUUCUCUUAAAAUUUUCCUGUGCAAUGCAACUAAACUAAAAAACAACUCCAAGCAAUAUAUUCAAUUUAUAUCUUGUUGGGUUAUGAUACGUCUCCAACGUAUUUAUAUAUUUUUUAUUGUUCCAUGCUAUUAUAAUUGUUGGGUCAUGAGCCGAAAGCAAGCCAUCGAACAUGCCAGUGUUGGAUUGGAUGAGAUUGUCGACCGCCUGAAGGAGGUUCUCAUCGUGAUCCUUGAAGAGCCGGUCCAGACCUACGGUGAAAUAUGCUCGUUGAAGCGCGUACACGCCACACCUUUCCUCGGACGGCUUGUCCAUCGCCUCCGCUCACGGCCGAUCACGCCACCGCGUCCCGGGAUGGUGUCGCGGCAACUCCAGGACCACUUAAUCUUAUACCAAUUGUGAGCAACUCACCUGAUCGAGAGGAAUUGCUAGGGAUUAGAAUUCGAAAUUGCGGAAAUUGGUUUCUUAGCUAGACGUCCGUCCACCCUCAUAGCUACACUACACCGCAUGUUGCCAUCAUCCAAAUCCCAGCCAGGAGAUAGGAGAGAAGUAUAAUGCCUACUAGCUUAGCCCGCGCGGCGACACGCCGCGCCCAUCGAUCAGUCGCGACUAUGUAGACUAUGGUCCAAGCAUUAGAGUAAUAAGUAGUUAUGAUGAAAUUUGUUGCAUAACUUGAGGCUUUUUAGCAAAUUCUUUUGUUCACAACAAUUUAUAGACACAAAUAUCUAUCUUUCAUGGAAACUUUUAGUUUAUUUUGUACAUAGCAAGGGUCUGUCCACCAAGUUGAAACAAAUACACAACAUGACCAAAAGUAAGGAACUUCGGAACAGUGCUUUCGUAGCUAAAAUUUAAUAAUUUUUCACAUUUCAUAACAUAAAUACUUAACUAAAACUUACAUCUGAUCUGAAGUACAACCAUUGAGACAGUAAUAAAACCACUAUUUUGAUCAUCAGAAAAAAAUUAAUGUGCUUUACAUGGAAAAAGUUUAGAGACAAAAUAAUUUAGCCAAGAGAAAAACUAUUUCAGAUCACAAAAGGCGCUCCAAAGAGUAAUUGUGUAUAUUAUUCAAAAGAACACUUUGUUACCUUCAGGCUUUAAUUAGCCCCAUUGUAUCUUGUGGAAUCAUGCAGUGAUACAAAUUCUUACCAUAAACAAAAAAAUUAAGCAGCUCUUAAUAUAGAAACAACCAUAUCACUCUGAAUCAAGGGAGCAUGAUGCGAUGAACUGAUGACAGGGAAUCUAUGGUAGCAUAUACCCAGGAAACAGUGUUCAUGGAAACUUUGUUAAACAACCCCUUGCUCAGCUUAAAAGUAUUCCUUCCUGGGUCUCCACUGAAACAAAGCAAUAUUUAUACACCCACAGGUGAGAACAAUAUGAGAUUGUUUGAUAUAAAACCAACAAUGCUUGAACAUACUUGUUUCUCUACCUCACCAUGUGGCAACCAGAAAAAGCUUUAAAAAUUAAAAACCACUUGCAAAUUGAAGUUGAGAGCCUUCACUUAUUUCUCGAAAUGGAAGGAGGAAGGGGCCUUAAUUUGUCCCAGUAACCCCAUGAAUAUAAUUAGCCAAAUAUGUGGCAUUUCAUCUUAUUACAUGGUCAUGCUGAAGGAGGGAACAUCAAUAAAAUUAGGCAUAAGAAAUCCAUCAAAUGAAGAGAGAUGUACUUAGAAAUAAGAAUAACAAACAUUCUCAGAUACUAUGUACCUUAUCCUGCCUCUAAGAAUAUGUCAAGAAGGUGAAUCAUUCACUUUUAUGUUACCGUUGCUGACAACGGACAACUGUGGAUGGAAACAAAAUUCUCAGCAAUGCAUAUAUGAAACUAAGUAACAUGACUUAGAAAAUAUAAUGUAAAAUAUCACAAUAAACUACUACUAAGUAUGUUCAAUAGUAAUACAACCUCAGUUUGUACCCCAGAAAUUUCUAUCACCAAAACAUCUUAGAAGGUUCAGUGCUAGUGAUGUGCCUGCCAUAAAACCGAAUGCCAAUUUCUAGUUAAAAAAUAACCGCGCAAGACCAUAUUCCUCUACCGCCAAGGGUAUAUGAUCGAGUGGGGCCAACUAAAGACAGGCCCCACGAUUCCAUUUUUUAAUGUAUGUUGUUGUAUAAUGAAUGACGCGCUUGUAUGCUUACGUGACUAUUUGGUUUUUGAUGUGAUGGAAAUUGGAGGGAAAGAUGCUGGACGGACUAAUUUGAUCAAUCGGGUGAGUAGAAGUAUUAGAGUUUUGGCCAUCUCAUCCAUUAAAUUUGGAUGGAGGGUAUGCAUCUUAAUAUGAUAAACAUAUAUGCAUACCGUAUAUGGGUUAUAUACAUAUAAAAAUCAGUGCAGCAGGCAUUUUUUCUGAAUCUAAACAUCUUGGUGGCCGACUUCCAGUGUGAAAAUAUUGGUUUUAGUCCCUGGUCAAAUGGACUGAUGCAUAUUAUGUUUGGUUGUACCACGAAAAAUAAUUUGGUUGCUUUAAGACAUUCAACCGAGGUAGACGAUGCAAUUUUGGCUGACAUGAAGUUUUACGAUCAUCAAUAUAGCAGAAUAUGCAAAAGAUGGGAUAAAGCAAGUCAUAUCUACUCCCUCAGUCCCAUAAUAUAAGAGCGUUUUUGACACGAUGGAGGGAGUAGUUUGUUUAUUUGUUUGAGGAACACUUAUUUGCUUGGAGAAUAAUGAAGUGUGCUUGCACCGGUACACAUGAGAUGAACUUGAACAAAAGAUCUGCAUUCAUAUAUGCAUUGUACCAGAAAUCAGUGCUGCUCUAACUUGCCUCUGCAUUGCCUCUGAACCAGUGCUGAUCUAUAUCGGAGAUCAGGAAUUUACUCAUCAGGUCACUGCAUCUACUUUAUUGCGAUUAAACCACCAAACUCAAAGAAAUACCUGCAAUUUAUUUAAUAGUCUUAUUUGAUUUUUUAUUCAGAAUGCGUUGAGCUAUUUCUUUUGCCGAGCUACAUUCUUGUACAUUGGAUUCUCAAGGAGCAUCACUUGCGAGACAUAUCUUCACAUACUACCAUUUCAGAACACCACUCCCUUCACGCACAGGACAUACAUGUUCUACAUCCACCCCUCACACUCCUAAUUUCAAACCGAGUUGGCAGGUUAUUGUAAGGCAGGUAAGCAACCUUCUAGAUGGAAUGUUGGAAUUUACUCUGGCAAGGUAGGUCUUAAACAUAUUAUCAUCUGGCUAUCUACUGUUUGAGCUCCCCAUGCUGCUAACACCAUCAAAUAUUGUUUGCUCUGGACAUCUUCAUAUGCCAAUUUGACCUUCUUUUUGGCAGACACAGUAUCUCAGAACAUCUAAAUUGACUCCUUGCACAGGUCUCUGAAUUGACACAAUCAGAAGGAUAAAACAAUCGCUAGAGCUCUUAUAGGAAGUCAGCCAUCAUUUUACUUAGACUAAAGAAGGUGUCUAUCACAAAAAAGGAAAAAAAGUAAGUGCGAAGAAACACAUGUAGGGUUCCACAUAAUUUGUAAGAGAUGAUCAAGGCAUAUAGUUGCAGCAAGUAGCAAAUGGCAUGAAUUUAUUCAUGAUGCACUCACGCAUCAAGGGUGUAAAUCUUCUUUAGCUAGGUCCAAAUGCAGAUAGAUACAGUACAUGAAUGAUGUGUGAUAUGUCAUUGUAGGUUUCAGACCUGAUGAAAAGUUUAUUACAGUACACGAAAAAUAUUCAUGAAACGGUUAUACAGUACAGGAAUGAUGAGAAAUCGGAAAUUUCUGUACAGGAAUGAUUUAUAAUAAAUUGCUGAGAGGAAUAAAGAAGAUGCAGAAUGUCUAAAACUUCUCAAAACUGGAAACAAUUAUACAAAAGCUACCUGACAGAGUAUACGGCUAGGAAUCUGCCUAAUUCAGUGUCUCUUAUAAUCCACCAACGACUACGGCGUAAUCACCAUCACUGCGGCUCAACCAGAAUUCGAUCGAAUAAUGAGGCAAAUAAAGCAGCUAAUAUGGGGUAAAUGCACACUAACUUGGCAGCAAGAACAGAUGGGUCAUAAGCGCCUUCAGUGACCCUACGACCUGCAAAUGGUAGUAUACAGACAGUGCGCCUUUACUCUGAAUAACCGAGAAGGAGCUGCCUUUAUCCUAUUUUUUUGCGGGGGAGCUGUCUUUAUCCUCCACUCAAGCUAGCUAUACUUACAAAGUUAGAGUUGUAUAAAGUUUUGAAGCGUAGCACUGUGAAUGGAUCACUCGUCCAGCAGCCUCCUGACACAUAAAAUAGGCAGAGCGAGCAUUACCAGGUCCCAUAACUCGGGGUCAGGCUAGUCGAACACGAUGACGCGCACCACCGUGCGCCACGCCGACGCCAGGUAGUAGAGCGCAGGCCUCUCGCACUGGUUGUGCGCUAGGGGCUUCAUGUUGAACGCGCGCGCCUUGUAGUCAGCGGGCCAGUACCAGUUCAUGAACAUCCGAGCCGGCAUCUGCAUCUCCCGCGCCAGCAUGACGCCCUCGCCACCGUCACCACGAACCCCCACGCCACUGACACCGUCCACCGGUUCGCCGCGAUGUAGCAUAUCAACUGGUGCAUCACCCCCGUCAAACAGCCUCCGCAGAGAUGCCAGGCGCAAACGCAGCGAGUCAGUGACACCAGCGGUGCUACCUGGUGGGCGGCGAGGAGGCCCAGGAGGUCACCAUACAUGCCUUACUCGUGGAAGCCCGAGUGUCGGCACGCCCAGCUCCGCCAUGCCCCAUGCAUGAUGUAGUAGGGGAUGGCGAGGAGGUUGUCCGGGAGGAAGACCGUGUUGUCGACUUGUCGUCGCCCAUGAUGAACCAGCGUACACCUGGGAGACUGAGGCGGAAGGUCUCGGAGAUGACGGUCGACGUGUGAGAUGCAUGCGGAUGGCAGAGCGAUGACCGUGCGUGUAGGAGAAACCGGAGGUAUCCGGUAAGAUCUUGAUGUAUAUGCACUCCUUCCGCUUCUCCAACAGGCGCGCCAACGCCGCGAAGCUGAACACUGCAGUGUAAUCGUCGUUGUCGACAGCGUCGCCGUGGCAGGUUGCGGUGGUGAUGGCGUACUCGUCGUCGACACCACCGUCACUUUGGAGGGUGGUGGUGGCAUCCUCGCCGUCGACACCACCGUGACCGUGGCGGGCGUCGGCAGGGGCCUCGUCAGCGGCAACGUGACUAAUCAGGAGGAUAGUGUUGUGGGCGGCUUCUUCUGGGUGGAGGCAGCCGGGCGCUGCCACGCUGGGCAAGAUGCCAUGUAUGAAGAAGAGCCCUUUUAUAGGCCAGUACGGCGGUGAACGGGUGGCUGGGUUAUGCACCGCACUGGAGCAGAGUUUUCGGGAGCGUCUAGAACACACGGCUGGCCAACAGCGGCAGUAACAAAAAGGGACAUAUCGAUUGGGCUAGAAGCGAUCGCGACAGAAAUACAGAGAAGCAUCGAUGUGUCAGGAAAGGGACAUAUCGAUUGGGCCAGAAGCGGCCGUGACAGAAAUACGGAGAAGCAUCGAUGUGUUAGACUGGCCCACAAGCAAUGAAAAAACGCUAAGCCAACCAAGCGAUCGCCACACCCGUUGAAGAAAUUUGAAUCAAAAAACUGAACACACCACUCAUUUCUACCCUGCCGUGUACCAAAAAAAUACCACGCGCCAUACUCACAACUCACCAUAGGUCACUUUCAUCCAAUUGGUUUAAUCUCAGAGCGAAAACCUUGCCUGCAAUAGAGGCUUGGGUAUUUAAACUAGUGAUCGCUAACAUAGUAGAAAGGCGUGCUCAUAGUCCAUCAACCAUCGCGGUGGGUUGAUCUCGAACCUAGGCUGCGGUUAGAGCAUAAAAAUUGUAUGCGAUAUUGAGUCCAUCACACAAAGUUAGAACAUACAAACUAUGUGCAAUAGGAAGGGUCCAUCACACAUGGUUAUAAGUAAGGGUUAAUUAUCCUUUUGCCCUUAGUGGUGUCCAUGUGCUCAGUUUUGCCCUCAGAUGCGAAUUGUCCUCAGUUUUGCCCCUAGUCCGAGCACAGCAACUACGACGAGGCCAAACGGCCAUAUUUGAGUCCAUUCCGUCCGCCGGCGUUAGUAGUUGUGGGUCCGGAGCUUACACGUGGGACCGCGUGGACGUGGGUCCGGAGCUGACAUGUAGGCCCCUGCAACUAAAUCCCCAAAUCAUUCUAGCUCACACCCAUCCGCGCGGCCGGCUGUCCUGCGCCGCCGCCGCCGCCACCUGCGCCGCGGCCAGCACCUGCCCUGCCACCAGUUGCACGGCCUGCUCCGCCGCUACCUCCCUGCGCCUACGCUCCACGGCUCAUUGUGACGCCCACCACCUUCCUGCGACGCCACGGGUGGGGCGCCCGCCACCUGCUCGAUUCGCGGCGCGGCCUCCUUCCGUGCGCCCGGCCGGAGCGCUCAAAGGUGGGGGGCUGCUGGAGCUAUUUGAACUAGGAGGAAGAACCCUAGGGCGAAAUGGUGAGCAGCGGCGACCCCGGAGUAUUUGGCGAGGCAGGCAUCGGGCCGGAGAUCCGCCGCGUCCACGACUGGGUUCCCGAGGGGUAAGUCUCGCCUCUUGUUUAGAUUGAGCUUAGUUGUGCAUUUGAACACUCGAUUCGAGUAGGUUUGCCCAAUUAGUGUGCUGAUUGCGUCUCUGUUUUUCGCCGGUUAGGAUGGAGUUGCGGUUUGCUUUCAUGGUGCACAUUAGAAGGGACCGGUACAUGUUCGAUGCAAAGGAUAAGAAGAAAUACCAAGGAGGUUUUGAUUAUCGGUUGCCAAUGGCUAGUAAUUGGAGUUUCAGACAAAUUGGGGAGGUAAUUUGUAGCCAAUAUCCUUGGGGUUUGCUUGAUGAAGUGGUAUACAAAUACUAUGAUGGGGAAAAGAAUUGGGUGACAGUUAGUAAUGAUGAAGAGCUAGCUACCAUGUUUGUUAGGCAUAAAGAGAAAGAUAAUUUUCAUGUGAGGCUGCAAGUUGAUGUGCUUGAGCAGGCAUUUGGACCUAGGAUGGCGGGUGCAACAUCUCGGGGAGAAUCAAGUCGUCGUAAUGGCAUCUCUAGCCAGAACAGUUCAGUUGGUGCACGGCGACGUGGUGGCUCGACAAGUGUGGGCAACAGCAGUAGGGUCCCCCUUGAAGUGGAGCCUGAUGGCUACAAUUCUGGGGUUGAUGAAGAGAAGUUAUAUUCUGAUGUUAUUCAGAAUUUACGACGGGCACCUCGGGCUGAAAACCAAGAUGAGGCUCACAAUGCAGUCCGUGUGGAUGAUGACGCAAUGGGUGAGGACGAAGACCUUGCAGCUGUUGAAUGGGACCCUUUGAACCCUCAAAUGGAAGAAGGUACAGUUUUUGCAUCCAUGAAUGAGUGUAGAAAUGCACUUGUGACAUACUGCAUCAAGGUAGAACGUACUUUCAAAGUUGACAAGAGCGAUCAAGUACGUUACAGAGUGCACUAUCCUACUGAGGGUUGUCCAUGGAGGCUGCUUGCAGCUAAAAUGCGGAAUAGCACUAAUGUUCAGGUCAAAGUGGAUCCUUUUAAGCACACAUGCCAGGAAUCAACUCUUAGGAAGGAUACAAUCAGUAGAGCCAAGUCAAGAUGGGUGGCAGAAGAAGUAAAAAAGUGGGUGAAAGAAAACCAGCAAGUGGGUCCAAAGGAAUUGCAGAAGAACAUCAAAGAUAAGUUCAAGAUAGAUUUACCAUACAUGAGAUUGUUCAAUGGUAAACAACAUGCUAUGGAUUCUAUUUAUGGUAACUGGCAGGAAAGUUUUCAAUUGUUGUAUUCAUUCAAAGGUGAAGUGGAGAGGACAAGCCCAGGUAGUAUUGUAGAUAUUGAUCACCACACCGUGGAGUACACAUUAAGGGGAGUGACAAAGACCAAGGAAUGCUUUAGAAGGGUUUUUGUCUGCUUUGAGGCUUGUCGCCGGGGUUUUUUGGUAGGCUGCAGGCCUUAUUUGGCUAUUGAUGCCACUUUUCUCACAGGAAGGUUUAAAGGACAGUUAGUUGCAGCUUGUGCAGUUGAUGCACAUAGUUUUGUAUUUCCAGUUGCCUAUGGUGUGCUGGAGACAGAGUCUGAGGAGAGCUGGACUUGGUUUUUGCAUAAUCUCCGCCGGGCUAUUGCACAUCCCAAUGGGUUGGUCAUUCAUACAGAUGCCUGCAAAGGUUUAGAAGUGGCCGUGGACAAUGUGUUCCCUGGAGUAGAGCAUAGGGAAUGCAUGCGUCACCUUGCUGCAAAUUUCAUGAAGAAAUUCAAAGGAAAGGUGUAUACCGACAAUUUAUGGCCAGCAUCUUUGACAUGCAGUGUGAAGAAGCAUAACUACCACUUGAGGCAGUUAUACAUGAAUCCCAAAGUGAAAGAAUACUUGGAAACACACCACUCCAAGUUAUGGGCCAGAAGCCAAUUCAGUGAAGUGAGCAAAGUUGACUAUGUGCACAAUAAUCUAGCAGAGUCUUUCAACUCAACGAUCCGGAAACUAAAGGGUCAUUAUGUGGUGGAUUUGCUUGACAGGAUAAGGAUAUAAUACAUGCAGAAAUUUCAUUAUCGUGCAGGAAUAGCCGAGGCAAAAUUCAUGGGCCACAUUAUCAUCCCUGCCAUGAUGAAUGAACUGAAGCAGAAGACAAUAGGCUUGGAAAUGAACAUGACGCUUUGCUCGGGUACCACAGCAGAGAUAUCAUAUUUGGAUAAAGAGAAGAGGGAAUGGAGAUAUCCAGUGGAUUUAGAAGCUAGAACUUGCAGUUGUAGGCAAUGACAGAUAACUGGGUUGCCAUGCAUUCAUGCCUUAUUUUUCAUCACUUCUCUCCCAGGUCCAGCAGGGAACACACAGCAGUAUGUGCAUGAUUACUACUCUGUUGCAAGGUUCAAAGCCACAUAUGCUUAUGCCUUGCCUGCUAUGGAGGGAAAACAACAAUGGGACAUGGUGGACCCUGGAUUCAAGCUUUGCGCUCCAGUUCUGAAGAGAGCAGCAGGUAGACCAAGGAAGAGUCGAAUAAGACCUUGCAGCGAAGGAGCUGGACUUGGAGCGAGGAAGCGUAAGUGCACAAGAUGUGGUGGGUCUGGUCAUUUCGGUAAGUAUUGUGAUAAUACAGUAGAUCCAGCGUUCGGAGAGAGUUUCGAUGAAGGCUUCGAUGAAAAUGUUGGUCAGCAGCCGGUUGCCUCAACAGAUGAUGAAAAUGUUGGUCAACAGCCGGUUGCCUCAACAGAUGAUGAAAAUGAUGGUCAACAGCCGGUUGCAUCAGAUGAGGAUUUUGACGAGGUUCCAAAUGAUGAUGGUCAACAGCCGCAUGAUUUUGACGAUGAUCCAAAAUAUCCUCCAAAUAAUGAUUCAAGUGAGGCUCCAAAUGGUGAUCCAAGUGAGGCUCUAAAUGGUGAUCAUGGUGAUCCAAGUGAGGCUCCAAAUGAUGAUCCAAGUGAGGCUCCAAAUGGUGACCAACCUUCUGUUGUUGUGAGUUCUGCUAGGUAUGUAAAUCUUGCAAGGGUCAAAUACUACUGUACAUCUAUCACUUGACACGAUCUCAUUACCGUUUAUGUUUGGACCCUUUAUGUUUUGCACAGCUCUAUGGUAGGUUUGAAGAAGACGCGCAAGGUACCGACAACCAAGAGAAGAAGAGAAGAAACAAUGAGCACAAGGUGCACGAGGAGCAAAGUGAUGACAAGAAGCUCAAGGAACAGACAGAAGCCCCAACGCUAUCUAUGAACAAUUAUGAAACAUUAUGAAUAAGGAAUGAUGUUGUAUUAUGAAACAUUUAUCACUUGACAUGUUGUAUUUCUGUUGGAUGAUGUUGGACCUAUGUUAGAAGUAUGUUUGACAUGAUGUUUAAAUAUAUGUUGGAUGAUGUUUGAAUGAGCACAUGGUUUUUCCUUUUUUUGAUUUUUUUGAAUUUUAUUUUGCUCAUUUAAAUUCUGGUCAAACCUAACUUUGACCAAGAUUUAAGCAAGUCUAAAACAUCAAAAUGAAAAACUAAGCCUGGAUACUUCUUAGUCAAUCCAAAAUGAAGUUGUGGUGAGGUUUUUGAAAUUUUCAUGAAAAAUGUGCUAAAAAGAGGGGUCCAAAGGUAGGGUAAACGGCCUCAUUUCUAAGCAAGGUUUUUUUCGACCUUAUCUAAAUCAGUCAAAUAACUUUCCUACACAUAUAUUCUAUAUGUACAGACUAUGUGCGCUGGUUUUUCCAUUUUUUGAUUUUUUUUAAAUUUGUUUUGCUCAUUUGAAUUCUGGUCAAACUUAACUUUGACCAAGAUUUAAACAAGUGUAAAACAUCAAAAUGAAAAACUAAGCCUGGAUCCUUCUUAGUCACUCCAAAAUGAAGCUGUGGUGAGUUUUUUGAAAUUUUCAUGUUCAUUUCCCCAAAACACUUCUCUUCACUUCAUACAAGAGAGUUUGAGAUACUCGAGAUAUCAUACAAUACACAUGAACUUAUCAUUUAAAUGUAUGUAAAGCUUGUUUAUCAACUUAAAUCGUUAGUAUAUGACAUAAGAAGACUAUGUGCGCAGGUUUUUCAUUUUUCUGAUUUUUAUUUAAUUUAUUAUGCUCAUUUGAAAUCUGGUCAAACAUAGCUUUGACUGCUCCAAACCCCUCCCAAACCCCGCUAACCCUAGCGCUGAAUAAGGACCGUUCAUCUAACCCUAGUGGUGAUCAAGGGCCGUCGAUCUAACCCUUCUAGAAGAAAUCUGCGGGGAGGAGGGGGGCGAUCCGCGAGAUGCAAUCUGAUUGGCUGGGAGAUUGUUUUUUUUAACAAAUAUCGGACGCGCUGGAUGGACCGUUGGGCCGUCUCGUUGUCUGGGCCUGAGAUCGCAGUAAAUAGCCCGUCUCAGCCUUUCCAGGCCUUGCAUGCAUGGAGGCGGCUACGUGGGUUUGCGCAUGCGCGGGAGGCGGCGACGUGCAUGCAUGCGAGUGAGGCGAGCUAGGCGAGCUAGGCUAGCGAGGCGAGCUAGGUGGUUCAGGGCAGUGGUUCAGGGCAGCGGUUCACAUGCACUGCCCGGUCAAAGAUGCAUCGUUUUCGUGCAAAAAUGUAAGUGUGCAAAACAUAACGGAUACACACACGCGUCCAGAUUCACGCACGCACCAUUCUCAUCCUUUCUCUCUUCCUCUCCCACCCACAGGCCUAUAAAUGGGGUUCCUCUCUUCCUCUCCCACCUACAAGCCAGAUCCGAUCCUCUCCAACUGCAAACACCCAAGCGACCAAGCCCUCCCCAAGCGAGACCAAGUGAAGAAGAUGUAGUUCAACGGGCCGACCUUCCGCCGUCCGCCUGUGGUGCCGGAGCUGCGCUACCCACCGGGCGUGCUCGUGGAGAGGGAGCUCCGUGUGUGGGCUAUUUCAAGGUGGAGGGGUUUCGUCGAACUCACCCGCGCCUUCCUCAGAGCCGGCUAUGCCCACCUCCUACAGGGCUCAUCGAGGAUGUUCACCCUCAACGAGGUUCGUGACCGCGGCGGCAUCCUCCUACUGCUCACGGUCACCUUCACCAACCCAUUUGACGCGCGCGAGCUCCUCGGCCAAGUCUUUUGGUGCGGCUGCGAGGUCAUCUUCUUCACCAUCUACAACAUCUACACCAACUACAAGCGCAUCUUCCCUGCUCCAGGCCAGAUGCACUCCCUUCCCUACGACGACGAGGAGGAGGUGUGAAGAUGAAGACGGUGUUGAAGGGGCGCGCGCGGCCAAGGUGGAAGAAGGAGGUCAAGAUGAAGAUGUUCAAGCCCGGAGUCAAGCUCAUCAUGUUUGGUUUUUUAUUUUGUUGCUUUUCUAUGUCGUGUCGUGUCGUGUCAUGUUUCAUCAUGUGUCCGUGAACUAUCCGUGAACUUAUCUAAGUUAUUGUAAUGGUACGGUGUGUUCCAUCUUAUUAUGUGUGUUAAAAAAUGUCCGUUCCCAAACUUAUCAUUUCUUCCCUAAACAAGUCAUGAAGUUCGAGAACUUGUGGUUUUCGGAGGGGGUGAGAAGCCCUCUGUUUUAUUCAAACAAAAAGUCAUGAACUAACAUGCAAAUUUAUUCCCUUUAAAUCCUAAACCAAGUGCCACUCUAACCCUAAACCAAGUGCCACUCUGACCAAAAUCAUGUGGUAGUGCAACAUACAUUUUCAACCUUCCAACCCUCCAAAAUUUAAGUGCAAAACAAAGGAAAACCACUCUCACGCGUGUGCAAACAUUCACGGUCUCACUAUUUUUUUUUAAAAUUCACAGUCUCACUAUGUAUACCUUCCUUCCCUACCCAUGUCAAAGUCUUGCCAUCUGUCCUAGCGGUUACCAGCGCAGCCCUAAACACCACAAACCCACGCGGUCCUGGGUUCGAGUCCCCAGCCGCACCAAUUUUUUGUGCAUUUUCCACCCUUCAUUUUUUUAUACAUAUUAUGUUUUCCUCAAUGUAAUGCCCUUAAAAAAUGUUCAUUUAUUUUGGCACCUGGCGUAAACCUCUACCAGAGCUGAGGCACAUUUUCCAUGACAUUUUGGUCUUUGAUUUAAAUCACGGUGUAUUUGAAUUGGAUUAAUUAACAGCUCGAAAAAAUUUCUAACCUUAAUUGUUUGGCUCCGGAAUAAUUCAAUUAGCUUCCACAAAAAGUUUCAGCAUUAUGAUUUACUGCCUAAAUUAAAUCAGAAUAGAAAACAAAAAAAUAUGCAAGAAAACCCCUGAAUGGGCCUAAUUGGAUGCAGUUGGCCCAUUAGUCUAGCCUGCACUUGGCUCUACGCUCUGAAUUUGGCCCAAGAGCAACCUUUUUUCGGACAGAAAGGCAGAGCAGAGAGCUGCAUUUCAUUGAUCAAAAGUUUCUGAAUUCCUAAUUUCUUCUCUUUUUUUUCCAACAUAUUUAAAUGUUGGUCACUUCUUCUCUUUUUGUUUCAACAUUUAAACAACUUUAACCAACAUUUAAACUAGGUGAAUUUCUCAAACAAUUUCAAGAUUACAAAUUCCUUCAUAAUUCAUGCCUUUCCAUACAUUUUCAACAUUACAACCAGUGCGAUUACCAUACCUACAAAUGCCCAAAAGUAUUUGCAAAUGGGUAUUGGUAGUGCUUGAUCUUCAAGCUUCCUAACCUUCUUCUUCAACAUCCUAAGCUCAAUAGCUAGCUCUCUGUCAGUGCGUGCUUCGCCAUCCAUCUCUUCUUCCGGAGCUCGUGGUGUGGCUACUGCCGUUCGUGGCAGCAUGCGCAACCAUUCUUCAUGCUCUUCUUGCAGUUCAUUCAUCAGAGUCUUGGCCAGAGCAUCGACCCAAAGAAAGAAGCAUGUCACCUGCAUGAACACUAAACAGAUCAACCCAUUGCUCAAACAUCCCGACGACGAAAAUGGUGCAAUUGCCCCGAUUCUUACCCCAUUCUCGCUGCACACGUAGAACGGACGAUUCUGGUUCCUCGGUGUCUGAGAAACCCUUCGAUCAACGCCCGCCCGGCACCGCGGACAGACGAAGACAGGCAUGUCCACACGCGCCCGGCUCUGCAUCCGCGAGGUGGCGCGGGAGCUUGAGGAAGACAUGGAGCUCGGAGCCGAAGGGGAUCUCAACGUUGCCGCGCCCUCCACUGCUAGCUUCCCACCGCCGCGCCCUCCACAGCUAGCUUCCCGCCGCCGUGCUCUCUCUCUCGCCGUGGUCACCGCCGUGCUCUCUGUCGCCGUGGUCACCGCCGUUGUCGCCCGCUUAUAUAGCACACCCGCCAACGGCUCUCUGCUCAAUGGCUCUUUGCUGGGUCCCACAAGCCACGCGUGCAACGGACUGAAUAAAAUUGGCCGUUUCUGCCGCCUGGUCCCACCUGUAAGGGCCGAGUCAAAAGGUUGACCUGACGGAGACGGCAGAGUUCACGGAACGAGUCGGUGCGCACGGACUAGGGGCAAAACUGAGCACAAUUCGCAUCUGAGGGCAAAACUGAGCACAUGGACACCACUGAGGGCAAAAGGAUAAUUAACCCUAUAAUUAAAAAUCGUGUGCUCAGAUGGGUUGGCGAUUGGGGUGCCAACACACACGCUUUCAAAACGGUGUGCGGUGAAUGGGCUCGACUAGGUCUGAAAUAAGUGCUACAUUAUAAAAUUACUCAUUUUUUACAAGCAAACAUAGCACCAGACGUAAUUCACAAUUGGACAACCCAUCGCACACUCUACAAUAUUUUGUUCUGCCAUUUCUCUACUAAUGGACAAAAGGCACUCGGCUUACAUCGGUAUGCCAACAUGAUGUACCUUGAGUGCGUUACGCUGAGUGUCAAACCCGCCGAGGCAAAAUCAGCCUUUGCUAGGGGGUCUGCACACCCAAUGGCGGAGCUAUGUUGGGGCCAGGGGGCCACUGCCCCCCAGCCUUUGAUCAAUUCCUGAAGAAAAUUUAUUUAGGGAGGCUUAGAUUAGACUUUUUUUAGCAUUUGGCGCCCCCAAAAACUGAAGAUUUUUGUUUCCCCCCCCAGUGAUCUUCGGCUAGCUCCGCCACUAUGCACACCCAGCUUAAUAUGCUUUCUUGUAGUGGAGAAUUUUCAACGAAUAAUGUAAAAUAGCCGUUGUGUCAAAAAAAUUGACAGUUAGGUCACUUUGGGACAGAAAAAGUAUCCAAAAGAUGCCCUAUAUACCUAUAUGUUGCAAAAGAAAAUUACCCAAAAUUUUGUCACACACAUCUAGCAGCUGCGCUGAAACCAAAAACAAUGCAGCAGGAACCCAACCACUUGCGAUGAGACUACCCCACCGCCGACAGUCGCCACCCCACACCUACUCUGACCGACUGUGCAGCGCAUGCCGCCGCCACGACUCAAUCGGCCGUUCUUAGCCCUGCUACCACCCUGCCGCUCGGGAUGUCCGCUACAAAUCUUGGGUCGGCGCAUCCGAUUCCACCGACUCUGGCCAUAGAAAGUUGGUGGCUACCGGGACAUCCCCCUUCAGUAUUUUGGCUAAUUUUGAACUUUAUGGACGGAUCACUAGAAAAUGUUAAUAUCGUCCAUGUUGCUGAAGGGGAAUUACUACUUGGGGAUUUCCUCACUGAAUAUUGGAAUAUACUUACUUUAUGCAUGCCAUCAAAUAUAGCUCAUCCCCUGAAAGAACAAAGAUUGCUGAUGUUUUUUUCCACGGUUUUCUAAAACAAUGUUGAUCUUUUUCAGAGAAAUGCAAUGAUUAUUUUUAGAGAACAUUCUGCAAAUCAACUAAAUAAGAGUCUAGGCAUUCUUCUUGUUUUUUUCAGGGGGAAGGUGUCUAGACAUUUAUUAACAUGUAGAACUUACAAUGCAUGGGGAAUGAAAGAUCAAAUAUACCUUGCUCUCCUUUCUUAUUUUAGUGGCUGUUAAUGUCAUCAUAAAGAAUAUUACACAUUAGGAUUGAGUUGUUUUGCUCUUCUAUUUUCCAGUAAGCCAUGCGAUAUUUUACAACCCAUCGGACACCCUUAUGGAUCUGAUGCUAUGUAGAUCAAGAUUAUUUCUAAUUACCCGCGAGACACCGACAGAGUAUAUCAUGUGGAAUUUCUUGUUCCUGUGGUUAGGAUGAACCAUUGCAACAUAUCGCAAUAAAUAGCUGGGCAAAAAAAAUAUGAUCAUCACAAUAAUAUUAGGUCUUGGAACCAUGACUUAUUACAUAAUCAGUUUAUUCUCUCUACAUAAAGCAGCGGACUCACAAAGACACAUGCAUAUUGGAUACUACAUUAUAUGGAAGGUGUGCAUGCAUCCGUAACCGAUCACACCCUUAGCUGCACCUGGGGCUCUGCACGAAGUUGCUAACCGGAAAUGACUGGUCGAACGUGGUUGCAUGCUCACUACCAGUAAACCUCAGCUUGUCACCGACGCGUUGAACCGUGUGGAAUGCAAGAAAAUCCCACUCAAACUGGAUCCUCACGCCACCCAGUUGAGUUAUGGAUCCGGGCCGGAUAACACCACUGACUAUGCUGUCAAACCGAAUCUUGUGUGAUCCACCGGCAACCGUAACGUUGAAGUCGCAGGAGGCGGAGUGUCACCUCAACGGCGCCCCCAUGGUUCAUGUAUGACUUCACACCCUGAGGCAGGAGAGCCCGCGGGAAGUUGUUUUUCUCCAAAAGGUCGUCCGCUGUGUCGGAGGUGGCUACUUGGAGGACAGAAGCCAGGAAGACGAUGAGGAGCAGAUGCUGGAUGGCCAUGGCUAACUGUUGCUUAUAAAUUGUAGGAUCGAUAUACGAAAAUGAGGAAUGGGGAAGUGCGUGCAGACUGAG